ACGCACGCUGGCGGCGUGCCUAAUACAUGCAAGUCGAACGCAUUUUCUUUCACCGUAGCUUGCUACACCGAAAGAAAAUGAGUGGCGAACGGGUGAGUAACACGUGGGUAACCUGCCCAUCAGCGGGGGAUAACACUUGGAAACAGGUGCUAAUACCGCAUAAUUCCAUUUACCGCAUGGUAGAUGGAUGAAAGGCGCUUUUGCGUCACUGAUGGAUGGACCCGCGGUGCAUUAGCUAGUUGGUGGGGUAACGGCCUACCAAGGCUGCGAUGCAUAGCCGACCUGAGAGGGUGAUCGGCCACACUGGGACUGAGACACGGCCCAGACUCCUACGGGAGGCAGCAGUAGGGAAUCUUCGGCAAUGGACGCAAGUCUGACCGAGCAACGCCGCGUGAGUGAAGAAGGUUUUCGGAUCGUAAAACUCUGUUGUUAGAGAAGAACAAGGAUGAGAGUGGAAAGUUCAUCCCUUGACGGUAUCUAACCAGAAAGCCACGGCUAACUACGUG
rnacentral:rRNA from 1 species